CAACUGGCAGGUGUGUGAGCUGGCACAGAUUACUUAACAUCUUUUGGUCUGAGUUUCUUCACCCAUAAAAUGAGAUAACAAUCUCCUCCUAGUGUUGCCGUAAAAAAGAUAAUGUAGCCUGGCAUACGAUGUCCAUUGGAUUGGCAGAUUCCCUUCAUUCCCAGGUCCUGCUAACCGUGACACUUCACUCACAUUUACUCCAUGGGGUCUGUUUGAAACACCUAGUCUGCCUGAGUGAUUCUAACCAUCUUAAUAUAUGAUUCCAUCAACUUACCCAUUUGGGGAACUUUCAAGAAAAGAGAAGAUAUAUAUUGGAGAAGAUAACCUGGAUAAGCCCUUCUUUGCUUGACUUUAUUGAAUCCUGAUAUCACAGGCAAAGGCAGUAUCUUCUAAAGGUCGAUAAUCUAUCUCCAGGCUAAACUACACUUAAACCAUCCCCGAAGGCAUUCAUGAACCAAGGAGGACCUCGCUGAGAUGAUAGCAUCCUGGGAGAUUUUUAUCAAACAUUAGUAAUCUUUGGAGGGUUGAUAUCUGAUAGAAAAAAAAAAGAAUACAGGUAAAUAUAUUCGAUGGUAAUUUCCAAAAACACAUGA